UGCUCCCUUUGGCAGCACUGUACUAAAAUUGGAGAGAUGCAGAGAAGAUUAGCAUGGCUCCCUGUGCAAGGAUGACACGCAAAUUGUGAGGUGUUUCAUAUUUUU